GAUCCAAAGGGCAUGAGCAAGGAGGAUGCCACCGCGAAAGAAAACGUUUCAGCAGGAGCCCUGCACUCCCUCGACCUAACCCUCCCGCCGCCGCCAGGGCCGGCUCCACCCCGCCGCCGGCCGGCGCUCUCCUCCACCGCGAGACCCGGCACUUCCAGGGCCAUUCCCCCCAGUUCCCUUCCAGGACACACCUCGACGCAGCAUCCUCACCAGCAUCCCCACCCCGACGGCCAGCUCCACCCCGCUGCCGGCCGGUGGUCACCUCGACGGAUCCCGCCUCAACCUCUGAGCCCCCUCUCCGACGCCAUAAACCCUAGGCCGAACUGGGCUGCUUCCAGCCGGCCAGCAGCCUCCCCAGCUGGGCUGCCUCGCUGGGAGAAGCUACUUCGGUGCCGAACGUUUCUGAAAUCGCCACUUGGAGUUAGAAGCUGCGUUUGGAAGCUGAAUUUGAGGAUUUUCAGAAGCUUGGAGAGCCCUAGGCAGCACCCCUCGCCGCCGCUGGACUCUUCGCCCCCGCGCCGCUAUGAUGGCUAUGGCGCUGCUCGCCAGCGCCGCGGGGACUGCCGGAGCCGUGGCGUCCCCUCAGCCUGACUCCGACGCAGGUGCUGUGAUGGCUGUAUUCAAGUACAACUUCGCGGCGCAGUUCCUUUCGAGGAUCAUCCCCUUCUUGUACAACGGCUGGUUCGUGCGCCAGCUCAGCGCCGACGACUGCGCGGCAUAUGCAUUGCAGCUUCCACUUUUCAUCAAUUGUGUCUUAUUUUUAAGCCGAGAGGGGUUUCGGCGUGCUUGCUUGCGUAAUAAUUCUGGGAGUGGUGAUGUGUUGAGUGACGAAGAGAUACUGAAGGUAGCUUGGAUGAUCAUCCCGUUUGGCUUGUUUGUGACUUUUAUUGGCAGUCUAUUUGUGUUCAGAAUAAAGAAACUGAAGUUAUCUGACCCUUAUGCAAAAGCUACGUUAAUCAUCGGAUUUGCGUGUAUCUUGGAGCUACUGGCAGAACCUUUGUAUAUUCUUUCCCAGACGAAGAAAUACUACAUAAUAAGAGUGUAUACGGAACCUGCAGCUACUCUGCUACGUUGCCUAACAACUUAUAUCUUCAUAAAAGGACAUAUUAAAGUGGAGAAGCUGGUCGUAUUUGCUUUGUCUCAGGUUGUCUAUGCGGCCUGCAUUUUCAUUGGAUAUUGGGCAUAUUUUCUUUUAUUUGCUAAUAUCAGAACUUUUGAUCUCCUUCCAUUCAGGUUUCUUCUUUAUUUGUGUUUUUACUUGUAUAUAAUUAGGCAUGAGUUAUCACAAGUAAAUUAUAUUUCCUUGUUGAUGCCAAAACACACACACAUUGUCAGGUUGUCAACCCUGAUGGUCUACGAUAAACAGUUAUUGCACAUGUGCAUAUUGUUUACAGGCCAGACUAUCAGGAAACUGAUCCUCCAAGAAGGCGAAAAAUUUGUUCUUGUUUGGUUUGAUACUCCAUUUAACCAGGCUGCAUACGGUCUUGUGGAUAAAUUAGGAAGUCUGGUUGUUCGAAUAAUUUUCCUGCCAUUUGAGGAGAGUUCUUAUGCUACAUUCACCCAAUUAGCAUCAGGGCAAACUCCUGAGAAUGUAUCCAAUCUGGAAGGUUCUUUGCUCGGAGCUCUUAAACUUAUUACGCUGAUAGGUCUCGUGGUCAUUUCUUUUGGUCCAAGUUAUUCAUACACCCUUCUGAAUCUAUUAUAUGGAAGAAGAUAUAGUGAUGGCGAAGCUACAGCUGUCCUCCGUUUCUAUUGUGUUUACAUAAUCUUCUUAGCAAUGAAUGGCACUUCUGAAGCUUUCCUUCAUUCUGUUGCCAAUGAAAGCCAGCUUAAGCAGUCAAACAAUAUGUUGCUCCUCUUCUCAGCAAUUUAUACUGUUCUAAAUGUUGCUUUUAUUAAAUCUGCCGGAGCUGUUGGGUUGAUUGCUGCAAAUUCUGUCAAUAUGCUACUGCGAAUCUCAUAUUCUGCAGUAUUCAUCAAUGAGUAUUUUAAGGGCUCAUUCUCCUUCUACCGCUGCUUGCCAGCGGGCUGGGGCGUUCUGCUCAUUUCUGGUCUGACCACAGCUUUCUCCGAGAGGAUGUUUCUGAAUAGAAAUAGGUUCAAGCAGACCCUUCCCAUUCACAUGGUGAUAGGCAUCAUGUGCCUGGGCUUCUCAUUGCUUGAGAUAUACCGUGGCGAAAAGCAGUUCUUGGUGAGCAUCAUCAAAUCAUUGAAGGGUCACGACAUACACACAUGAAUUUAUAUAUUUGGGGCAAGUGAAUUUACCCCAGAUAUAUACUCCCUCCGUUCCAAAAUAGAUGACUCAACUUUGUACUAACCAAAGUUGAGUCAUCUAUUUUGGAACGGAGGGAGUAAAUGAUAUUUCCAUACAACAUGCGUGCUGUAAAUUCUUGUAUACUGGCUAGAGUACCAAAGAAGGGAGCUGGACCCAGCAGCUGGAGAGGCUUCUGAAAGAACAGAUCAAAUUGACCGAAAUCAUAAAUCGCCGCUAUGCAGUGAAUUGAAUUGCUGGGACAAGUUAUAGAGGCGACAUAAAGCAUAGAUCAUCUGGGUAGAUAGUUACAAGUCCUGAAACACUAGAAAAUGGGUUUAGUUCAAGCCAGUUUAUUUGUGAUUUCGUCGUCAUGUUUCAAAUUAUGGCGUCGGUUUAAGAAUAUGGUUGUAUGUGGGAUUUUCCAAGAACGGGAACUUUUCGUGGAGGCCUCAAACAUUUCAUAGUCUCUUGGUCUCCAGUGACCUCGGCGUUCCACCUGCAUUAUCUUGCAAGGUAAAUCUCCUUUAAGCAGUUGUGGUGAUGCUGUUGGAGACUUUUUUUUUGGAACAAAAAGGUAGGUCAUUUUCUACCUUAUGCAUUUAAAACGGGUAAAAAUGCCCGGAUGACCAAAGUCAUCUACAUGAAGACGAUGUUAACGCUGCACAAAGACAUGCAGCAGGCCAUCACCAAACCUCUAUGGAAAGAAAAGAGUAAAGAGGCGAGGAAGACAGCUAUGCGGACGUGAUUACAUUUGUCCAUGCAACUAGAGCUUGUUUGACAGUCCCUUCUGCUGCCCUCAUGCUGUCGGAGACUGGUUAGGCAAGUUUUGUAUAUGAGAGAAUUGUUCAGGUGUUUUUCCUUUUGGAAAUUAGUUCGUGUGUGUUGGUUGGUUCAGUCCCUCUCUGCGUAUUAAUGGAGCUAGCCAAAAACGAUUGUGAAAAUGGUGUUCAAUCUACUCCCUCCAAAUGAGUUAUUCAUCCCUUCAUAUUUUGCGUAUUAAUGGAGCUAGCCAAAAACGAUUGUGAAAA